CCUAUGUGUAUGUAGGAGUGAAAGUGAGAGAGGUGGGAAGAGUGGAAGACAGACAGAGAGAUAGGAACAGAGAAAGACAGCAAAUGUACUUAGACUUGAGUAUUUCAACAACUCCUCUCUUUCAACUUGUUAGGCAAUCUCAUGUCCAUACGGUGGAUGGAUGGUCAGCCACGCAGGAGGGUGAUUUUUACUAAGGAGGAGAAGGAGGCCGUGCUGUCCGAGAUGCAUGCUGGCCAUUUCGGAGAGAAGCACAUGACAAGCAAAAUCAACCUAUGCUUCUUCUGACGGGGAAUUGAAAUAACCUUUUAUAAAUCACAUUCUAUUAUACCUGAAAUCAUUAUUAUUUCAAUGAAUGUCACAUCAGAGAGUACACUGUUUCAAUUUGUCACUUUUUGUCACCUAAAGGUCAGUACCCAGUCUAGCCUGCCAGAAGUUUGAGAGGGCGAAGACCGUGGCACCGGAGUUGUAGCCCAUCAAAGUUGUUUCACCAUGGGGUGGACCUCAUCAGACACUUCACGAAAUCCAGGAAUGGCAACAGCUGGUGUCUGACGGCGACCAAUUACUUUACCAAGAUGAGACUGUUGAGGCCACCUCAAGGCGAUGAAGAUCUUCAACUCCCACAGUUCUCCUGAGGCCAUCUUGAGUGAACGAGGUGAUGAAUGCUGGAACAAGGUACGGAUGUUAUAGAGUCGCAAUUCAACGGCUCAGACACAAGAGGUAUGUGGCAGGGUCUACAGUCAAUCACGGAUUACAAAAAGAAAACCAGCCCCG